rnacentral:misc_RNA from 1 species
ACGGCGAUAACCUUGCUCAGGAGCAAUUAAAUGGGGCUGAUAACCAUCUGCUUCUGAGAUGAUUUUCCUCACGUUUUGCUGAGAUAGAUGUGUGUCAAAUGGAAGUUUCUUCAAAGCAGCAGGGAGUUGAUUGUCAAAAACACCAUAUAUUCUAUCGCCACCUGGUCGGCCUCCAUCUAAAUGCUCUUUAAAAAUCUUGUCGAAGGCUCGGCAUAGUUCCAAUAUAGUGUAUAACUGAGCCCCAGCAUCAACAGCAAUUGGUCUACCGAUAUGGUUCAUCUCUGAUUCAAGUUCGUCAAUGCUUUUAUUUAUCAAAGAAGUAAUG